rnacentral:rRNA from 1 species
UAUCAAUAAGCGGAGGAAAAGAAACCAACAGGGAUUGCCCCAGUAACGGCGAGUGAAGCGGCAACAGCUCAAAUUUGAAAUCUGGCCCCCAGGGUCCGAGUUGUAAUUUGCAGAGGAUGCUUUUGGCAAGGUGCCUUCCGAGUUCCCUGGAACGGGACGCCAUAGAGGGUGAGAGCCCCGUCUGGUUGGAUACCGAGCCUCUGUAAAGCUCCUUCGACGAGUCGAGUAGUUUGGGAAUGCUGCUCUAAAUGGGAGGUAUAUGUCUUCUAAAGCUAAAUAUUGGCCAGAGACCGAUAGCGCACAAGUAGAGUGAUCGAAAGAUGAAAAGCACUUUGAAAAGAGGGUUAAAUAGUACGUGAAAUUGUUGAAAGGGAAGCGCUCAUGACCAGACUUGGGCCCGGUGAAUCAUCCAGCGCUCGUCGCUGGUGCACUUUGCCGGGCUCAGGCCAGCAUCAGUUCGCUCCGGGGGACAAAGGCUCUGGGAAUGUGGCUCCUCCGGGAGUGUUAUAGCCCACUGCGCAAUACCCUGGGGCGGACUGAGGUUCGCGCAUUCGUGCAAGGAUGCUGGCGUAAUGGUCAUCAGUGACCCGUCUUGAAACACGGACCAAGGAGUCGUCUUCGUAUGCAAGUGUUCGGGUGUAAAACCCCUACGCGUAAUGAAAGUGAACGCAGGUGAGAGCUUCGGCGCAUCAUCGACCGAUCCUGAUGUUCUCGGAUGGAUUUGAGUAAGAGCAUACGGGGCCGGACCCGAAAGAAGGUGAACUAUGCCUGUAUAGGGUGAAGCCAGAGGAAACUCUGGUGGAGGCUCGCAGCGGUUCUGACGUGCAAAUCGAUCGUCAAAUAUGGGCAUGGGGGCGAAAGACUAAUCGAACCUUCUAGUAGCUGGUUUC